rfam:Triticum aestivum genome assembly, contig: Triticum_aestivum_CS42_TGACv1_scaffold_096719_2AL
CUUGUACUCCAUCCGUUCGGAAAUACUUGUCUUAGAAAUGGUUGUAUCUAGAACUAAAACAAAUAUAAAAACAACCAUUUUUAGGACAAGUAUUUUCGAACGGAGGGAGUAAAAG